UGUCGACCUAUACAGAUUGCACAGAUUGCAUUCUUUAUGGCCUUCCAUUAGUGUUUGAGAUUGACAGUAAAUACUACUUGUAUAUAAGGUGCGUAACAUUUUCCUUUUUGCAUUAUGAUGACUAAAUUAUGUUUACUUCAAAACCGUAACCUAUUCUAUUAUUAUGAAAACAACCAAAUGCUGUUUUUUGUGUCUGCAUAGGUAUUUUGAAACUGAACUACUAAAGGGUUUCUUUCAUUCUGCUGGAGUGGAACUUAUAAAGUCAGCAUUAACCGAAAUAACUUUUGAAGAAACUUAUCUCAUGUCAAUAUACAAUGAUUGGGAUGUGAAAGCUGCACAAUCUCAUCGUUCAACUGAUAAAUGUAGUAAAGGGACAUCUAAGAACAGCAAUGUCUUUAAAAUGAUAACCCAAGGAAAUCAAUCAGCACUGAAUAAAUCUUUACCACUUGGACACACUGUCUUAAAAAGAAGAUUUUUGUCAAAUACCCCUGGUUAUAUUGUUUUUUCCCGAAGGAAUGCAAGUAAAUGCAGAAAUAAAGACCCAAAGAACUUGUGUUUUGUGUUCUUUAAAGUCGAGUGAUUGGGAGAAGUAAGUAAAUGGGAUCACCUAAUUAAAGACUAUCUAAUCAAUCCAUCACAGAACCACAAAUAUUCCACCUUUAAAUACAUUGUGCAGCAUUUCGGUAAAAAGACUACUUUAACGUUAGAAGAGCAGUUUUUCACGUUAUCUGUUAUUCCCAACUUUCACAGAUGGGAAGCAAAUAAAUCCAGUGGUGUAAAGAAAGAAGAAUGUUUUAUUGGUAGCGGACGAUCACCAAGACACCAAGUGUUAAGAUUAAUUUUGCAAUUAUUUGAUAUAGAUGAAGAUUUUAAUAUGGUGGAUCAGAUAAAGCAGAAGCGAUAUGCUAUCUUAAAUGACGUUUUCAACAAUACUUACCAUCGCCUCCGUCAAGAAUAUGCCCCGCUUGUAAAGAAAAGGGGACAGUCAAGGAGAGUAAAGCCUAGACUGACAAUGCAAACACUCUUGCGUCAGCUAAACAUAUCUGACGAGGAAUUUAAAAGCAUGCAACAUCAAAAUAAAAUGGAAAGCAUUUCUUUAUAUCAAGCAUUUAAAGAUAAUAUACUGAAUCACGGAACCUUAAAAUGGAGAGUAUUUAGCAGUACUAAUCAAACAGUUGUAAUGAACGAUUAUGACUCCGAAACUGGCGACUUUAAGUUUUUUUAUUAUGUUAUUGUAUUCAUGGAAGCCUCACCUCAGGAUAACGAUGUUGUCUGGAAUUGUUCCUGUGGAACAUUUCGUGUAUUAAUGUCUACUGUGCAGAUGAAUUUUGGCGAAAUUACUUGGGAAGGAUUGAUGUGUCUUCAUUGCCGUUUGUUGAAAGAAUUACAGCUACAGCAUAACGUUCGCCGUGUUGAUUUAAGUUCUGAUCACGCGUAUACGAGAGAAAUUCUGAAUACAGAUGCACCAGUAAAUAAAGCCAUCAUUUCACACAAUUAUCCUGUAAUUCUUUUGCCAACGCAACAUUUGUUCAACCAAAAGUAUAACGUGGUUUCAAAAGACGAAGUUCAGUUUAUUUUGAUCCAUUCACUGGAAUGUGGAAAUUCAAUUCACCUUUUCCUCAUACUGUGAGUCAAGAUCCGUUCGAAAGAAACUUGCUUGAUAAUUGUCGUCAAAGAAACCUCUUGGUAGCAUCGUUUGAAAACGAUACGUGUAUGAACUUCUUUCCCCUUUGUACAGAUGAGUUGUGUGAAUGUCAGUUGCCCUGGAAAGUUGACAACAAUGGAAAUAAAGUUUAUGCUUUCGAUUGUGUUACUACACUUUAUACUUUAACUGGUAUUUUGAAGGCCAAAGUUUUUAAACUGGUUUGUUCGUCUAACACAUGUGUUAUUCGGUG